GCAUCCUUUUGGGCCACUGUGAGUAACGUGGGUGCUGUUCUUCUCUUAUCUGAAGGGGAGAAACUGAAGCAAGCAAGCGGCUCAGAGCGCAGCCCAGCUGCAGAUUCCUUCCCUUCUACGCAUGUUCUGUGUUACACACUCGGCUGUCUUUGGCACAGGAAGUGCACACACAUUCCCAGGGGCCAAGGGUCGUGCAGAUGACACACUUUCCACAAGGCCUAGAGGAAUCCUGCUGGGGACAGACCUGAAAUCCCAGCGUGUAACCAAGCUGGGGCCUUCCUGCCAACUGGAUUCUUUGAUUUCUGAAGUCAGCUCAGCCACAGAUUAAGAAUGAAGGAAAUGUUCCAAUAUGAAUGGUUGGCAGCACAAGGCAAUGAGCACCCGCCUCACCUAAAACGUCAGAAAUACAAACGCUCACUGGAGAUGACAGCGAGCAUCCAUCUGAACUGUGGCUCCUGGGAGAGAGGGGAGCAUCCAUCAUGAUAAAAAGGUGCCCACCUUGCAUCUCAGGGGCCCCCAUGUGUCUUACAGAAUA
rnacentral:lncRNA from 1 species